UAAGGAAUAUUGGUCAAUGGACGCAAGUCUGAACCAGCCAUGCCGCGUGAAGGAUGAAGGUCCUCUGGAUUGUAAACUUCUCUUAUCUGGGACGAAAACGGGAUUUUUAUCUCAAUUGACGGUACCAGAGGAAUAAGCACCGGCUAACUCCGUGCCAGCAGCCGCGGUAAUACGGAGGGUGCGAGCGUUAUCCGGAUUUACUGGGUUUAAAGGGAGCGUAGGCGGACUUUUAAGUGAGAUGUGAAAUACCCGGGCUCAACCUGGGUGCUGCAUUUCAAACUGGAAGUCUAGAGUGCAGGAGAGGAGAGUGGAAUUCCUAGUGUAGCGGUGAAAUGCGUAGAGAUUAGGAAGAACACCAGUGGCGAAGGCGACUCUCUGGACUGUAACUGACGCUGAGGCUCGAAAGCGUGGGGAGCAAACA
rnacentral:rRNA from 1 species